rnacentral:rRNA from 1 species
CCUACGGGAGUCAGCAGUGAGGAAUAUUGGUCAAUGGACGAGAGUCUGAACCAGCCAAGUAGCGUGAAGGAUGACUGCCCUAUGGGUUGUAAACUUCUUUUAUAUGGGAAUAACAUGUUCCACUUGUGGGAUUUUGUAUGUACCAUAUGAAUAAGGAUCGGCUAACUCCGUGCCAGCAGCCGCGGUAAUACGGAGGAUCCGCGCGUUAUCCGGAUUUAUUGGGUUUAAAGGGAGCGUAGGUGGAUUGUUAAGUCAGUUGUGAACGUUUGCGGCUCAACCGUAAAAUUGCAGUUGAAACUGGCAGUCUGGAGUACAGUAGAGGUGGGCGGAAUUCGUGGUGUAGCGGUGAAAUGCUUAGAUAUCACGAAGAACUCCGAUUGCGAAGGCAGCUCACUGGACUGCAACUGACACUGAGGCUCGAAAGUGUGGGUAUCAAACAGGAUUAGAUACCCGAGUAGUC